GGAACCGUGCCCGAAUGUUUAGGGGCCACUUUGAUAGAGUGGUAUAUAGGGGUUAGAGCCCCCUCAGUUCUU
rnacentral:tRNA from 1 species